rnacentral:rRNA from 1 species
UACGGGGGGUGCGAGCGUUGUCCGGAAUCACUGGGCGUAAAGGGCGCGUAGGUGGUCUGAUAAGGGUGUGGUGAAAGCCCGGGGCUCAACCCCGGGUCGGCCGUGCCGACUGUUGGACUAGAGUGCUGUAGGGGCAGGCGGAAUUCCGGGUGUAGCGGUGGAAUGCGUAGAGAUCCGGAGGAACACCGGUGGCGAAGGCGACAUCCUGGACCGGUAUUGACGCUGAGGCGCGAAAGCCAGGGGAGCAAACGGG